GAUGAACGCUGGCGGCGUGCUUAACACAUGCAAGUCGAACGAAGCACCUUGAUUUGAUUCUUCGGAUGAAGAUCUUGGUGACUGAGUGGCGGACGGGUGAGUAACGCGUGGGUAACCUGCCUCAUACAGGGGGAUAACAGUUAGAAAUGACUGCUAAUACCGCAUAAGACCACAGCACCGCAUGGUGCAGGGGCAAAAACUCCGGUGGUAUGAGAUGGACCCGCGUCUGAUUAGGUAGUUGGUGGGGUAACGGCCCACCAAGGCGACGAUCAGUAGCCGGCCUGAGAGGGUGAACGGCCACAUUGGGACUGAGACACGGCCCAG
rnacentral:rRNA from 1 species